UACGGGGGGAGCAAGCGUUGUCCGGAAUUAUUGGGCGUAAAGGGCGUGUAGGCGGCCUGGUCAGUCGAAUGUGAAAUGCCACGGCUCAACCGUGGAAUUGCGUUCGAUACUGCCUGGCUUGAGUACGUGAGAGGUGUGCGGAAUUCCUGGUGUAGCGGUGGAAUGCGUAGAUAUCAGGAAGAACACCGAUGGCGAAGGCAGCACACUGGCGCGAUACUGACGCUGAGGCGCGAAAGCGUGGGGAG
rnacentral:rRNA from 1 species